UUCUUCUCUCCACGUUAAUACUAUUAGAUUCAUACGAUGUGGGACUGAUGAGAGAUUAGAUCGUUCUAGUAUUGAUUCCGAUGAUGAACAUAAGGUAAAGGUGGAGAUAGAACAUGGCAAACCAGUUGGUAAGUACUUUUGAAGAUGGAGUUGCGGCAUCAAGGUCAUGACGAAUCAGACGAGCUUAAUAUUUAAGGAUGGCAGCCAACAAGAAGCCAUGAGUUAUUUUAUUUCGGAGUACCAUAAUUGGAACAGAUUUACUGAUAAUGAAGAUCCCACACCUCAACCAUUUGUUAAUGUGUCGGUUAAAUAAUGGACCUAUUAGACAUUCAACGCUAUCAUUUCUUUGAUCGAACCAGAUCCGCCACCCAAUGAUAAUGUGCAUCUUAAUGAGAACAUACAGGUAUUUUGACAAUAGCGACUACCAAGGCGUAUCUCAUUAUUUUCAAAGCACAACUUUACUGGUUUUAGUUAUGUUGGCUGAUGCCCUGUGUUAGAGAAUGCUUUUCAGUCAACAUGCUUUAGAU